rnacentral:lncRNA from 1 species
CGUCUACCCAUGAGGCAGUGCGCGUAGUUAUAUACUUUUGCCUUGGUCUGAGGCGCUCAUUCCGCGCUGGGAGUCGCCGCAGCCGCCACUAUUUCUGUGGCCGCCGCCUAGCGUCUUCGCGCUCCUCCCUUUCCUCCUCCUCUUUCUCCUCCUCCUUCGAGUCCCAGUCACGGCGACCUGCUCUGCUCACGGGCAGAAAAUUAAGACUUAAUUUGCUCUUCUCUGGAGUCAUAUGGUGAGUUUGCUGAGAUCAAAAUUAGAACCGGAAGAUUUCUGAAUCCCAAGUUUCACAUUUCAAUAUUUGGUGUUAAAGUAACUCAUAAAAUUGAUUGCUGUCAUUUGUUAGUGCCUAGGUGAUUCUGCAACUUGAUGGAUGACGACAGCCCUUUUCAAUCAAAAAGUAAGUACUGCUGCUGCAAAUGGUACUAGUAUGCAUGACUUUUGUACUGAUGACCUUGCCUCAUGAGAAAAG